AUUUAAAUAGCUUAAAAUCAAAGCCUAAUAUUGAAAAUAUUAAAAUGAGGUCCCCUCUUUAAAUA
rnacentral:tRNA from 1 species